UUGUUAAUAAUGGAAUGAAAAUUAUUGAUUGUUAUUAACUUGUGAAAAAGAAGUGUAACAAAUCCACAUGUUAUGUUCUUACACCCUUACAGAAACUGUGACUCCUUCACAAUGUCAGAUUACCUUGUGGGAGUAGCUGGACCAAACUCUAUUGGUAUUUCAAGUUUGAAAUCCCUGUUUGACCAGACAAACAUUUCAGAUGAGGUAAUAGAUGGCCUAAUCUAUUUGCAGUGUGAGAAUUUCCCUCACAUUUAUCCAAUACCAAGCCAAAUCACUGGAAAAAUUUUGGAUGGGUCCACAAGAGCACAAAGUGCAUACUUUUUGAAG